UGGAAAUAUUUUCAAACACUGCUCAGUUUCGAUAAGAGCCCUCUAGUUUGGCCUGAAUAGAGUUGUCUCCCCAAAUAUUAAUCAAGUCUAAAACCUCGCUUUCCCUCCACUGACCCGUCUCCGCAUUGUCAUCCGCCAUGGUUGUUGUUGUUUCUUCCCACUUGUGCCGUGUCGGGCACAGAAUAGUGACGUUCGUCACAUAAUGAUGACGCAUAGGUCAGAUAAAUGCGACCUGGCCAUUCAGACUGUAGUCGCAUGGCAAAAGAUCAGAUAUGUAUCAGAAUUGGGACCACAUACCCAAGUGGCCUGGAUCGGAUUUGAAAAAACCUGAUCUGUGUUCAGACUGUCAUGAAAAGAUCAGAUACAGGUCGCAUAGGGCCAAAAAAAUCGGAUUUGGGCCACUUCAGUGUGCUGUCUGAACGUAGCCUUAGUCUCCAGGACCAUCACUGGAGUAUA